UACUGCUUUCCAAGCCUCCAGCCGAAACUUCAAGCAAUCGAUGUAUUCGCUCUACUCUAGAUCUUCUGCAUCUAAUUACCCAUGUUCUACAUGUGAACGCAAGCUGAGUGGAGUGGGGUUAUCAUAACUCUUCCCGAGUUAUCCUAACCCGAAUUAACCGUGUGUGUGAAAGCGCUCACUGAUGAGAUACCUAAAUGGGUUCCUUGACGUUCUACAUAGGGUGUUGAUGGCCACGCCCUCGUAUUCAUGACUCUUUAGCGCGCUCUAUGCAGUAGACUACAAGUUUGCAAAUCUAGAGGUACAAAUGAUGCUCAACAAGGUUUUUGUCUAAACUUUUAAAUUUCAGAGUGCUUGUGUGAUGUGGCACUAUUGAAGAAAUGUUAAAGACUGUUCUUUCAUGUGUAUUAAAGUCAACCAUAUCAGACUCUUUUUCGGGCAUCACAUGCAUUGUUGUACUAAAAAUGCGCUGCUCAUGUAUGAUGUACAUGUUCAAACGCUGUUUUUUCUAACUAGGGAGACAGAGCUCAAGGUCGACUCUAGUUUGUAGUCUAUUGUACCAAGCUAAGCUUAUGUAGUUUGUCUGUGUGUAGUUUAUGUCUGCCCCUAAGUGGGAACUGUACCGUCUUUGGGUGCGAGAGAAAAUAUAUUAUUGUUAUUAAUUAUUA